rnacentral:rRNA from 1 species
CCUGACGCAGCGACGCCGGGUGGGGGAAGAAGGUCUUCGGAUCGUAAACCUCUGUCAGGAGGGAAGAGGGGCAGUUGCUUAACAGGUGACUGCUGUGACGGUACCUCCGGAGGAAGCACCGGCCAACUCCGUGCCAGCAGCCGCGGUAAUACGGAGGGUGCAAGCGUUAUUCGGAAUCACUGGGCGUAAAGCGCGCGUAGGCGGCUUCGUAAGUCAGAUGCGAAAGCCCUCGGCUCAACCGAGGAAUAGCAUUUGAAACUGCGGAGCUAGAGUUCGGGAGAGGGUGGCGGAAUUCCAGGUGUAGGGGUGAAAUCCGUAGAGAUCAGGAGGAACACCGGAGGUGAAAACGACGGUCUGGAUCGGGACUGACGCUGAGGCGCGAAAGCGCGGGUAGCGAACAGGAUUAGAUACCCUGGUAGUCCGCGCCAUAAACGAUGUUCAUUGGACGUUGCAUGGGUUAAAACCGUGCAGUGUCGAAAGCUAACGCGUUAAGCAUCCCCGCCUGGGGAGUACGGUCGCAAGGCUUGAAACUCAAAAGGAAUUGACGG